GAUGAACGCUGGCGGCGUGCUUAACACAUGCAAGUCGAGCGAAGCAUUUUAAAGGAAGUUUUCGGAUGGAAUUUAAGAUGACUUAGCGGCGGACGGGUGAGUAAAGCGUGGGUAACAUGCCUCAUACAGGGGGACAAUAGUUAGAAAUGAAUGCUAAUACCGCAUAAGAGCACAGUGAUGCAUAGGACAGUGUGAAAAACUCCGGUGGUAUGAGAUGGACCCGCGUAUGAUUUGGUAGUUGGUGAGGUAACGGCCCACCAAUCCGACGAUCAGUAGCCGACCUGAGAGGGUGACCGGCCACAUUGGGACUGAGACACGGCCCAAACUCCUACGGGAGGCAGCAGUGGGGAAUAUUGGACAAUGGGGGAAACCCUGAUCCAGCGACGCCGCGUGAGUGAAGAAGUAUUUCGGUAUGUAAAGCUCUAUCAGCAGGGAAGAAAAUGACGGUACCUGACUAAGAAGCCCCGGCUAACUACGUGCCAGCCGCCGCCGUAA
rnacentral:rRNA from 1 species